rnacentral:rRNA from 1 species
AACGAACGCUGGCGGCGUGGAUAAGACAUGCAAGUCGAACGAGGUUACUCUUGGUAGCAAUACCGAGAGUGACUUAGUGGCGAACGGGUGCGUAACACGUGGGCAAUCUGCCUUAAAGUGGGGAGUAGCUCGGCGAAAGACCGAAUUAAUACCGCAUGUGAUCAGCCAAGACAUCUUGGCGACAUCAAAGACCGGGGCGAACCUGGCGCUUUUUGUAGGAGCCCGCGGCCAUCAGCUAGUUGGUGAGGUAACGGCCCGACCCAAGGCUUUGUACGGGUAGGCUGGUCUGAGAGGACGACCAGUCACACUGGAACU